rnacentral:lncRNA from 1 species
CUUGCAUAUGUUGCUGUAUAAUCUGCACCUUUUUCUCGGCAUCAUUCACAAAGUCGAUACCAUAGUAUCUCCUUUCACCAGGUUCCACCCAGUUUAACGGAGUUCGACAUCUCCGCCCAUACAAAGCUUCGAACGGGGCCAUCUUGAUGCUCUCUUGAUAACUAUUAUUGUAUGAGAACUCAGCCAAAGGUAACCAUGAUUCCCACGAUCCCUUGGACGAUAGCACACAGGCCCUCAGCAUAUCUUCUAACACUUGGUUUAGCCUCUCUGUUUGGCCUGAAGUCUGGGGAUGAUACGCCAUGCUUCUUAUCAAACUGGUCCCCAAACUCUUAUGCAUGCGCUCCCAUAAGUGAGCAGUGAACUGCGGUCCUCUAUCCGAUAUGAUGGUUUUGGGGAUACCACGCAACUUGACGAUCUCAGCCAUAUAUAUAUCAGCAUACUCGGGAGGUCUGUAUGUGUUCUUGACUGGAAUGAAAUGAGCCGACUUGGUUAAUCGAUCUAUGAUUACCCAAAUCGAGUCAUUCCCCUUCCUGGUUGUCGGUAAGCCGGUGAUAAAGUCCAUACUGACCUCUUCCCAUUUCCACUCCGGAACUGAUAACGGUUGUAACAGACCUGCAGGUUUCAUAUGGAUGGCCUUAACUCUGCAACACGUGUCACAACGGGCCACAUAAGCGGCUAUUUCUUUCUUCAUCUUGGUCCACCAAAAGUGGGGCCUUAGAUCUUGAUACAUUUUGCUGCUGCCAGGAUGAAUAGAAAGCUUAGAGAGAUGGGCUUCAUCCAUGAUGCGAUUCUUCAACUCCCGAUCUUUCGGGACCACUAACCGCUGUUGAAACCACAGUACCCCCUUCUCAUCAACCCGAAACUGAGUCUUUGGGUCAUCUUUGAUCUUCUCUUUGAUGUGGAAAAUACCCUUGUCUGUUUUCUGACCUUCAAUGACUUGACUCUCGAGUGAACAACUGAGUUGUAUAUGACAUAAGACCUCAGGAUGCAUAAGAUUGAACCCAUCUUCAAACAACGGUUGAACCAUUUGAUAGUGCGGUUUGCGACUCAAGGCAUCUGCGACCACAUUAGCUUUGCCUGGAUGAUAGUGAACUUCCAAAUCAUAAUCCUUGAUUAGCUCUAACCACCGUCGUUGCCUCAUAUUCAGCUCGGACUGAGUGAAGAUGUACUUCAAACUCUUGUGAUCGGUGUAAAUGUGACACUUAUUUCCUAGCAGAUAAUGUCUCCAGAUCUUCAAAGCAUGUACCACUGCUGCUAACUCAAGGUCGUGCGUUGGAUAGUUGACUUCAUGCUUUCUCAACUGUCGAGAAGCAUAAGCUAUCACCCUGCCAUCUUGCAUCAACACACACCCCAGGCCACUCUUCGAUGCGUCACAAAACACAUCAAAAGGCUUCUCUAUAUUAGGUUGUGCCAGAACGGGAGCAGUGGUUAGCAACUUUCGCAAGGUGCGGAAGGCUAACUCACACCCUUCCAUCCAGACAAACUUACGGUCCUUUUGUAGCAAACUUGUCAUUGGCUUAGCAAUCUUGGAGAAGUCAGGUAUAAAACGACGAUAAUACCCGGCCAGACCAAGAAAACUUCUAACUUCCGAGACCGAAGUUGGUGCCUUCCAGUCCAUGACUUCCUGCACUUUUGAUGGAUCCACAGCAAUUCCUUCUUCAGACAGAAUGUGCCCUAGGAAAGGAACUUUCUUUAACCAGAACUCACACUUGCUGAACUUGGCAUAUAGCUGAUGCUCUCGUAACCGUGUCAGCACGAUUCUCAGAUGCUCGGCGUGAUCUUGCUCAUUUUCCGAAUACACCAGGAUAUCAUCGAUAAACACUACAACAAACUUAUCCAAUUCCGGCAUAAAGACUGAAUUCAUCAGAUACAUAAAGUAUGCAGGAGCAUUUGUCAACCCAAAGGACAUGACAAGAUACUCGUACAACCCAUACCUGGUGGAAAAAGCAGUCUUCGGGAUAUCUUGCGGACGAAUCUUGAUUUGGUGAUACCCAGAUCUCAAAUCUAUCUUAGAAAACACUCUUGCCUUGGAUAACUGAUCAAACAGGAUAUCAAUCCUUGGCAAGGGAUACUUAUUUUUGAUUGUCACUGCAUUGAGUGGACGAUAGUCCACGCACAUGCGCAACGACUGAUCCUUCUUUUUCACAAACAACGCUGGACAACCCCAUUCCGACGAGCUUGGCCGGAUGAACCCUUUUUCUAGUAACUCCUUCAGUUGCUUCUUCAGCUCUGCGAGUUCGUUUGGUGGCAUCCGGUACGGCCUUCUAGAUAUUGGUGCUGUACCUGGUAUCAACUCGAUUGCAAACUCUACCUCCCUAUCUGGGGGAAGUCCUGGUAACUCCUCGGGAAACACAUCAGGGAACUCACAGACUACUGGAAUCUGUGGUAAAGGGGCCACGUGCGUAGCACAGGAGAUGCUAGCAAAGUCAAGACGACGGGGCAGAGGUACUUGAAAAGAGUUACUGCCCUGUGGUUCUCUGAGAGAUAACAUCCUCUUUCCAGUAUCUAUGACAGCAUCCCAUUCUCUCAACCAGUUCAUGCCCAUGAUAACAUCCAAAACUAACCCAGGCAUGACCACUAGAUUUACCCGAAAAACUCGGCCACUUACAUCCAGGGUUGCCCCUCGGACCACUCUAUUGGUCAACACAUCUGCCCCUGCUGAGCUGAUGCGGUAGCCAUAGCCCAGAUCUGUAACUGGUUGAUUAUGCUUUUGUGCAAAUGCUUGGCUCAUGAAUGAAUGCGAUGAUCCAGAAUCAAACAAAACAACUGCAAGAUGUUGGUUGACAGAAAACAUACCAGCUGUUACCGGUUCUCCUUCCGGGAUUUCCUCAAUCGAGGUAUGAUGCACACGAGCUGGAUAGGUUGGCUACUGCCUUUUGGGGUAGGGACAUUCCUUAGCAAAGUGCCCCAUCUUGUGGCAGUUAUAGCACGGACCCUUGGGCGCAUUGUUGGCGGCAGGUGCUGCGGCUUGAAUUGCCUUUGGCUUGGCAGGAGCCAUCGCCACCUUGUACGGCUUCUGCUGGGUUGGAUGCCCGGUGUUCCUUCUCUGCGGUGGUCGGAACCUAGCACCCGGGGCAGGAGGACGAUACUGCUGUCGCCCUGCCACUGGUGCCCUGGACUGGGAUGAUCCUGCUUCAAAAGCCCUUUUACGUGACUUGGAUGCACUGUAGUUGUUGUUAUUGUUCUCUUGGGUCAGACAGUCACUGAUAUAGGCAUUGAAAGUAGCCCUGGCCCCUGUACCCAUGGUCUUCAGCAUCUUUGGAUUCAAGCCUCUCUGGAAACUAGCAAUCUUCUUAGCCUCCGUGUUCACAAACUCAGGGGCAUAGCGAGCGAGAUUGUUGAAAGCGUGUAGAUACUCCUUCACAGACUUCGUCCCUUGGGACAGCCUCAUGAACUCCCCAACCUUCAUUUCAACCACACCAGGAGGAAUGUAAUUUCCCCGGAAAGUGGUGGUGAAGCGGUUCCAGGUGAUUGGUGUCCCCUCUGGGUAGGUGGUACGGUGAUGGGACCACCAAAUCCCAGCAGGUCCUUGCAACUGAUGUGCCGCAUACUCAGCCUUGAGUUCUUCUGUCAUUCGGAGAAGACGAAACUUCUGCUCCAUGGUGUUGAUCCACUCAUCUGCUUCGAGCGGUUCCAAGGCCUCCUUAAAGAUUGGUGGCUUGGUAUCCAUGAAGUCCUUGAAUGAACUGUACUGGUUGACCUCCCGGCCACCCUGAUUAUCUCCACGACGGGUGUUGUCAGCUAUGUUGCGCAAAGCUUCUUCCAUGUUGCGCUGCAUCUGUUCCAUGUUGCGUUGGCUCCCCAGAAGCUGCGCGAAAAACACAUCCGCAGUGUACGGGGGAGGUGGUGGUGGUGGUGUUGGUGCUCGGUCCUCAUUCCGUUGAGCCCCACCUCCGGAUGUACCUGCUCCAAGACCCGGAUUGUUGUUACCCCCGCCACGUGUUUGCACCAUCUGCAUACGCCAAUGAUAAGCAAUCGUUAGGAGUUGCUAUCAACCGGUAGAAAAUGUGUAAAAUCGUGCCAUACUGAAUUUACUGAGGGAAUAAAUUCACACAAUAAACAAAGGCACAACAACUCAUCAUCCACGCACAACAUCACUAACAGAUUACUUAACAUUCACGCAACAAGGUUCGCGUACAUCCAAUUUGCCAGCAUACAUACAAUGGACUUUCAACAUAACUCGUAAGGUCUUACAUAGCUCAGAUCCAAAGUACAUGACAUGCCAUGCAACAUACAACACAAAAGGAGAAGGACUAGCUCUAGAGCCCUAGCAUCUAGUCGCUAUGAUCACUGUCCAUGCCAGAGCCAUCCUCAUCCUCGUCACCACUAGCAACUGCUCCUAUCUCGGGAUCCGCGUCCAUCUCGUCCUCAGAGUCUAGCUCCGCUGGGCAGGUGGUGAGGGUGGAGCUGGUUAUGCAGCUGGUGGAUCUCCUCAUGCAAGUUCUCAUUGUACUCCUCGGCAUUAGCUAGCUGCUGCUCUAGCUCCAGCUGUCGGGCCCUCAAAGUGUCCUCCUCGUGCCAGGCUUCAUUCCUCUGUCCAAGCACAUGGACUAGCAUGCGCUCGCAGUUCCUGUGAGCAGUGGUCACCCUGUCCUUCUGCUCCCGCACUGCAAGCAGGUCCUGACUCAGCUCACUGUUCUUUUGGACUGCCUGGUCUCUCUCUCUGGUCACACGAGCCAACUCUGCCUGUAGCCUCUCAACCUCAGAGUCAAACUCACGCUGCAACUGACGCUUCUCAUCCUGGACGGUGAGAAGAGACCCGGACAAGCGACCCAAACAACGCUCCAGGCCUCCAUAGGUCUUCAUCAACGCGUACAUGGCACUCAUAGCUGCACUGUCAGUGUGCUGGUCCUCAUCCGCACUCCUCUCUAGAGCAUUCACCUCGGACUGAUCCCACACCGAAGUGUAAGGGUCACCCCGGGGAAACACCCCAGCGAAGGCGUGGGCCAGCUCCUAUGGAAACCUCUCCAUGAGGUCCCUCAAAACUGCGAAAGCUGCCCUGCUGGCACCGUGGAAAGGCGUGACACCUCGGGACUCGUACACCCAACCGCCCCAAGCAGGGUCUCCUCCACUGGUAGGGACAACUGCCUCGAUCCCCACCAGGGUCUCGUCACCAAGCGGCUCCUUAUCCCAAUAGUAGCGAGGCUCCCUUCCUUCGGGAUACCCCAUCGAACUGAGCACCCUCCAAAGCAAGGUGGGCAUCCCAAACUUCUCUAGGAACUUGCUCUUAUGUCGCGAGCUCCUAGCUGCCAACGGACGGCGAGGGGCCCGCCCACUAGUGGACUUGCGAGCGGUGAGCCUAGUGCGUGCCAUCUGCUGCAAAUGGAAUACCGUGGGUAAGAGCGAGGAUUACCUUUAUUUAUUUCAUUUAAAAUUGGGACAGAUUAAAUUAAGGGGGAAAGUAAGCAAUGAUAUGAAAUGCACAUGAUGCAUGUACGAACUUACGAUCUCACAAACUUAGAAAACAAAGGUUAACACUAAGCGGUAUACGCGGUGGCAUACAACGUUCGCUCAUAACGUAACUAGCGUUCUAAGCGAGAACGUGGUUAGGGUACCUGCAGAAAACUCAUUUCAGCCCACCCACAGUAUGAUCGUGCAGAACAAAAUUUAAAACUAUACACUUCACAUACACAGACACCCGUCCAUGCAUGUGACGUGUCACUACCCACAUCAUCGCCCUAAUGACGGCAUCGCCUCUCAGGACGGAAUUCCCAGCAUGCGGUACUGUUCCCAAGACACACCAACAUGUGUGCAUGACACAGCACCUGACAACACUUCCCUAGACCGGCAGUGUAUCCGAUCAUGCUCUCACAACUCCCACUUACCAUGGCGUAGAGGAAGAAUUGAUCCAUACAUUACCACUCAAAUGAAUGGCACUCAUACUAUUGCACGCCGUAUGAGCGACGAAAUAAAAAUAUGAUGCAUUAACCCCCAAGUCAGUACUUAGCUAGCCACCUUAGAGUCCUUAACUGGGCAUAAAGGAUAUGACCAUGGCACACUAAAUAAUUUUCCCAAAACUUAGUUUAACACCUUGAUCAUUAUUAAUUAAUUAAUAAAAUCUUUUACUAAACCGGUUUAGACUUUUGUUUAAAACGUACUUAUGAACAGUAACUCGCUAAACCUUGCUCCGAUGCCAGCUGUAACAGAACCGACCAAAUUAUAAGAGAUUAAGCCUAAUAGUGACCAUUUGCAUAGUCGAACCAUCACGCUUAAGCCCAUAUAAUCCCGGUAGUCCGUGAAAUCUCGAAGGAUUUCAAACCACACAUCGCAUACAGCCAAGAUCGUAAUAAGUUUAGCGGCCACCAUCCAUAAGUACAUUCAGAUUUCAACAUUCAUGAAACACAUCGGAGUACUUAAGUUAUUACAAACCAAGUUCUUCAUGUAGCGGAAGCUUCAUAGUUCGAAAUUACAACACACACGAUAAGUCUGAUACCGUGCCAUAGUUUGGUCAUUCCCACAAAAGCAAAGGAAGAGACAGAGUGACCAUCGCCCUUGGUCUAGUCAUCACCCAUAGCUGGGUACAGACAGAGGAUGCAAUAACCAUAGUACAUGUGACCACCUGCAAACAAACAUGGGAAUAGAACCCUGAGUACGAGAAGGUACUCAGCUAGACUUACCCGCCAUAAACUUAAAAUAAAGACUCAUCAAGGAUCAUGAAGGCUAUUUAGUGGGGUAGCUGACAACCAUUUUGCAAAGACCGCAAGGUUUUAUUACCCUAACCUACAUAAAUCUAAAUCUUUUCUUCUUUUAAUCUGCUCAAGUUGAAAGUAUCAUUACCUAUUAUCUAGGUUUGCUCCUGUGCUAUUACAAGCAAGUAUGAGACUAUGAUAGUACCUCAUCAUAGCAUUUCUUAAACCAUUCAUCAUUAUAACCCGAGUGUUCCAUAGUCCUUACUACGAGGACGAAGCUCAUGUCAAGUGCUCACUAUCCAGGAGCGAUGGCGAUUCGAAUCGAUUUCUAACCAGCUGGUGAGGUAUUCCCCACACAAACCACACUCACUGAUCAAGUGAGCUACAGAUCACCGUAUUACACUAUCCAGGACCAAUUCGCGGGUUCGGCAGGCACCGCCAGUACCCGAGGACCGUUCCGGCGACCGAGGUAUCCAAGGUAUACCAAGGUUGCACGCCGCGCCCUCGUCGUUCUCCUCAACCACCACCAAUACAGCGCAUGGCGGCUCGAUUCCCGGCCCGGAUAGUGUUCAGGCUUCGCGGCCGGAACGACUUAUCCUUCCAGCUAAGUGUGGGGCAUGCGUUCAACAUGACAAGAGGGCCGUCAACGAUCGGUCCUUAAUCGACACAGGCAGGGGCACCAUGGUCCACCCACCAUAAGACCCUGCCCGGUCUCCAAAUUCAUUCCACACUUGGUUAUGCUUUUCCCCGAGCAACCAAUGCUUAAACAAGCAGGUAUCCACCUAUGUCUCGCAGGUGACAGGGAAUCACCCGACUUCUACCGAACUAAGCAAGCUAAGCAUAGACUCCGUGCCUAUCUACAUAGGACAAGGUAGUUGAAUGAGUAGGAAUAACAAGGAGUACUCAUGCAGCAACGGUAUCAGGCAACUCCUAUCACUUAAUAUGCACUAUAGUAGAACAAGUAUAGCACUUUAUAUAAGUUAGCGAGAAUAGGGAGACUUAGAAUGCUCCGGGGCUUGCCUUUCUCAAACGUGCUGGGUCGGUGAUCCGGACACUCUUGCAAUUCCUCUCCGGGUUCCUGUGCUUCCGGAGGUUCCUGCUCCUGUAUCUCCUCGGGUUCCUCGGGUCCCACUUCGUUCUCCUGCGAGCCUAUAUGAUGCAUAUAUGCUCAUGAGUGGAGUGUGAGAUGCCCGAGUGGAUGCUUGUAAGAGAGAGUGUCAAAGGAGUCAUGUUAUGAUGCAUAGGUGAUGCACUUGGUCAUGCUUAUUACAAGGUAGUCAACAUCAUCCGGGAACAAUAACUAAAUUAAGCAUCUGUUGCAUUCUCUUCUACAGAUAUUUUUCAAAUGCAACCAGCAACCCCCAUGAUGCUUCAAAGAUACACCAAACCCAACUUAUUCCAUUCAACCUAUAUAUAUACACCCUUCAUAGUUUUCUUUAUUCAUUUCUAAGCCCAUUAAAAAUCAAAUGCAAUUCUGUUCAUCAAUAAAUUCCACAAAAAUUACAGGAGACUACCAGCUAAGCAUAAAGUCUACUGUAAAUUAUUCAUGAUUUUUGGAUACUUAUUUUGAGCCACAAAAAAAAUUACAAGAUUAAUUAAUAAGGCAAGUAAAAUCACUCUACUGGGAUACAAGUGUUAAACAACAGAUUUCAUAUUUUUACAAUUUGCAUAAUAUCAUAAGAAACACCCACAAAAUUUUCCAGAUUUAUUGCAUGACCCAAUUAAUUAUUAAAAAUCAUAAACCACUGCCAUGCAAGCAUUUAAAUUACCAUAAAUUCAUUUAUACACCAAAUAAUAUGUACCCACUUUUUCCCAGUGAGCAAACACACAUGCAAAGCCAACAAAUCAAGUUUCACAUUUUUUCUGAGCCAUAUUUUAUUUACUAUGCAUUUUCCAAGUUUAACAAAAUCAUGGAUAAAAUAUAUUCACACAGAAAAAGUUACUCCAACAUGACAUGCAAUUACAUCAAACUGUAGAUCUGGAAAUAUAGAGCACACCCAAAUUUAUUUCAUUCAAUUUGGAGCUGUAGAACUCAAGAUAUAGAUUUUACAAACUUUAAAUCAAUUUCUGGAAAACACUUUUUCAAGAAAACCGACGAAAAAUGCUACGCACACCCAGAUCUACAACCACCGGGGUACCCCUGCGACUGACAGUGGGUCCCCGACCCCACCAGUCAGCGAGACCGAGAGGGAGCUCACCUCCGACGAGCGGAUCUCGCCGGCGGUGAGGUCUCCGGCCAUGGGGUGAGCACCAACGUGCUCCCCGCAGCAAGACGCACCCAGCGGUACCCUUGGAUCGACCAGAGGACGGCCGGAACACCUCCGGCGAGCAUGCAUGGCGGCACGGCGGCGCUGCUCGCCGUGGCCAGGCUGCUCCGGCGCGGUAGAGCGUGCGCAAACGCCUCUCCGAGCUUCCUCACCUUUCUACCGACCUAGCGCAACAGAGAACGAGCGAAAAGAGGUAGGGAAACGCUAGAUCCGUCGCGGCGGAGUACUCCGGCGAGCUCGGGGUGACUCCGGCGAGCGAUUCACGGUGCUCGACGGACUCUCACCUCGGUAGAACGUUCGCACGAGCUUACCCUAGCGACGGCGAGUGCCCUGGUGCUCUCGGCGUCGAGCUUGAGGCUCUGGUGUGGCCGGCGACGAGCGGCGGAGCUCUCUCCGGCAAUGGCGCGCGGAGGAGCGGCUGCUGCUGCGCGGUGCGAGUGGAGGAGGAAGGAGAAGGAGGGCGCGGGGGAGACAGAAUGGAGGGAGUGGCCUGGGAGCCUGCGCCGGCGUCCCGACCAGGGGGGUUGGAGGCCGGCCGCGGCGCGCCCAACGCCGGCGUACGGCCGCCACGUGGCCGGCGCCGGGUGGAGCAAGGCGGGCGCCGCGCGCGCGGGAGAGAGAGGAGGGGGAGCGGGCCGCGCUGCCCAGCUGGGCCAGAAGGGAGGCGGGUCGGCCCAGCAGCGCCUGCCGCCUUUCUCUUUUUUUUUGAAAUUCUUUUCUCAAAUUCUUUCUAAAUUCAUUUGGACCAAUUUAAAAUCAUUUUCACCUCUUGCUCCCAAAAACAAAGUUGUUCCAAAACAAAAACUCUACAGCUUUUCCUUAACAAGCAAGACCAAAUUCCAAACAGAAUUUGAAUUACAAGUUAAAACUCAGUUCUAGGUUUUAAAUAAAUUCUUUUUGGAUAUUUUUGUAUAAAUUCCAUUUCUCAAAUUCCAUAGCUCCAAAAAUUGCACAAAAAUGUUCUUAAUUCUUCUUACACAUAAACCAACCUAGUUUGACUAUUUCACAAUUUUUAAAGCAAGCAUCACAUUUUAACAUGUUUAAAACUCAUGAAAUGAUGCACAUAAAAUCAUACUUGAAGAGAAUGACAUGCUCAUGAUGCUUAUGAUUGAUGAGGAUGCUUAUGCAUUGCUUUGCCAAGGCUAAGUGCAUGCUUAACACCUAGGGUGUUACAUAAACAAACGUCAUACUACCCAUUUCCCCUCUGACAAGUGUAGGGACCUACAAAUUAUCUGACUAUGGAAUGAUUCCCACAACGUUUUCUUUGAUCCUGUUUUUUAAUAUUGAGCCAUGUUUCUCUGUGAGCCAGUAGAAGAGCGCGCUCCUCUCUGCUCUUUACAUCUGCUAUAUAUAUAAACCUUUUUAGUCCAGAUCAUUGUCAUAUCUGCACUUAAACUUUAAUUUAUUUAUUUGUUUAUUUUGCAUUCAAAUGAUUGAUACCUAUCUCAGUCGGAUCCAUAAUUGGUAUAUAUAUGGUUUGGGUAAUAAACUUCAGAAUGAGUAGCGUUCUGUUCCUCAAGUAGUAAACUAGUAAUAAUGCUGAUGUCGAUGCUAGUGACUUGGUUAGUUGGUAUACCUGUUGUUACUAUUACUAGUUACUACUCCCUUAUCAGUCACUUAAAACUGUGCACAAACAAAGAAUGCUUAGUGAUGCUUGCGAUCAAUGAUUCAAUGAUGCUUAGUGGCUGAUUAGCAAGCUUGUAUUAUUGGCAGUUCACUGAAGAUCCUAUAGCAUCUCUCAGUAUACAAUACUCAGAACAAAACAAAUUGACAGCCUGUGUUCAAAGCCUUCAUUUUCACACUAAAACAAUGUAAGGAACUGAGAGCAUGUAAUCUUCUACAUUCACUAUAGUUUUCACUUUUCAGACCAACACAUAAGAUAAGCAGCUGAGCAUGUAGCAACAUGAAAGAAUUAUAACAUGAAGCAGAGUUUUAUUUAAAAAAAAGUAUGGUGUCAUUAUCACUUUGAUUAUUUAGUUCCUAAUGCCAUUCUUGUGAUAUCUUGUGCCAUGUUUUCUUUCAGUUCCUAAGUUCCUGUUGCCAUUAUGUUUUUCUUUCAGUUCCUAAGUUCCUGCAGUAACCUGAUUAAUUAUUUCACUGAAAUAUAAUUUUUAUAUUUUUGUUUGGGCACAUAGAAAUGGCGGACGACCCGUUCCAGAAUUGGAGGGAGCCUACACCUAGCUCAUCUUCAGCUAGCUAUGCAAGUGGUGCGUCUAUGACCCCACCACAAAAGAAACGUCGAACCGAGGAAGACGUAGAUCCGACGUACAACCCAGCGCAUGAUGAAGCCCACAGUGCACAGAUCCCAGUUGUGCCUCGGGCGUUAGACUUUGGGUCCGGAGAAGAGAACAGACAUGAAGAAGGCCCCGCUCCCUCCACGACAGCUCAGAAUCCAAGCAGAAGCGGAGGAGGGGGCAACACGGGAGGCACCAGAGGGAGUUGACUGACGUGGUGCACGUGAUCCUUGAGGUGGGGCCAGAGGGAAACCCAGUGAGUCCGCAAGAGGUACUUGGCCGGUUCAGCAACCAAGUGUCCUGCAUAGUCAGGGAUAAGGUGUUGAUCACUUGGCCGAGCUGGCACCAGGUCCCGAAAGACGUCAAGGGCAAUGUAUGGGGUGAGGUUACCCGGAAGUUCACUUAUCCCGAAGGCGCAGACAUGGAGAAGUGUUGUGAGUAGGCCAUGCACGUGGCGUCCUCUACCUUUCGCAACUUCAAGUCGAUGCUGGCACGGGACUUUCUAAAGAAGAAGAAGUCACCCUGCCAAAAAUACACUAUGGUGAAGGAGCAUGUGUGGGAAGAAUUCUGCCGAAUGAGGACGGCCGCUGAAGCAGAGGCAAAGAGCGCCAAGUUCAGUGCUCUCGCGAAACAAAACAAGCAUCGCCACCACUUGGGCAUGAUUGGCUAUGUCGGACAUAGGGCUCGAUGGCGGGCAGAAGAACAGGCUAGACAGGCUGCUGGGAUUCCUGAUCCGUACGAAGACGUCGAUGUUAGAGCUAAGGAGUUCAUGUAUGCCCGCGUUCCAAAGAAGCUAAAGCCAGGCGCGACCAGGUACAACAAGCCGCAAUAUGACGAGUUGGAGAAGGCUCUCGUCCAGGCCGCCAAAUCUAAGGACAACAUCGAGGUCCGUAGGGGCCAUGACUUGCUGACCGAGGUCCUCGAAACCUAGAGCAUCGCGGCCGUGUUCGUGGAGUCCAUUGCAAGAUGAGAUGGAAGUUGGUCGAGUCGUGGCAGGCCGAUGCAUCCGCAUACAAGUCGAGGCAGAAGUACAAGGACAUGUUGUAUCAGAAAGGCUUCGAAGAAGGUAUGGCUCAAACACUCAAUAAAAGAAGCCUUCACGAGCAAUGAGCCUGAAAUGGUGGCGAUGAGGUCACAGAUGUUUCGUGAGGCUGGCCUGGCCACCGCUCCACUUCAACAACCGCAAGGGCUGCCGAUGAUCGAGGGUCAACCAAGGCACUGGACCGAGGACGUCCAGAAAGACACACACGUCCAGCUCCUGAUCCCGUUCGGAAGAUCCAAGAAGAUGUAUAUAGCUGAGGGAAUGCUACAUCCCAAAAGCAUAGAGUUUAGCCCAGAUGAAAUCCCAGAAGGCUAUGUGGUCGUGACCCCACUCUGGAAUGUGCCAGAGCAAGAAGAGUAUGAAUUGGACCUUCCAAACAUCCAGCACGUCAAAUUUCUUGGGCAGGCCAUUGGUCAUGAAGUUCUAUGGAACAAGGAAGACAUUGAGAUCAUUCCACCGACACGAACUCCGACACCAACACCAGGAUCGCAGCCAUCAACUGUCGGAUCACAACGAUCAGUGGCUGGAUCUUGUCCCCCAGAUGAUCCUGAUGGCAGUGACGAUGAUGUUGAAGGAAAUGACAAGGACAAGGGCAAAGGACAAGGCGAUGGCGAUGGCCAUGGCUAGGACAAGGAGAAGGCACAAGACAAGGACGAUGGCGAAGAUAAGGAGAAGGCACAAGUAGAUGAGGGUGACAAAGACAUGGGUGCAACCUGUGCCCCUCCUCCAAAUAGUCUGCCUCGGAGCCCAAGCAGACAACAAGAAGGAGGCACAGAGGAGGCAACAAGGACUAAGACACCACCGCCAACAUCUACUCCUACGCUUGAAGCCCCUCCUCCACCGAGCAAGAAUGCAGGCAUGACCGCCACACUGCUCCCGUACACUACUACGUCUGUAAGGUAUGAGACAAACAAACAUAAUAUUCUCAUAACCUUUCUAACACAUAAAAUGGUAAUAACAUUUGUAAUUUUGUUUUGCCAGGCCUACAAAUACUCUGCAGAUCAAUCUAUUUCCCGAGGCGGAAGACUGUCCUGGCCACUAUGAGCUUGGAAAGUUCAUGCUACCUAAGGCCCAGCUCAUCGACGAUGAAAAGUGGGAUACAAGGAAGUUCCACCUGUGGUAUAUGGAAGCAGCAAAAGCCGGGAUGACAUGUUUCACUGUCAAGAUUCCCUCGGAGUUGUUCCACUUGCCCGGUGCCGAUAUUCAGCUGCCUGUGGACUUCCAGGACAUGUACAAUCUAUUGCGGGAAGAAGACCUUGACAUCGUCCAAAUCACCUUAUUCUCUCUGUAAGUGAUGAUUGCGACCUUUAUAGACCAAUCUCUACAUUUGUAUUGGAGAACUAUAUGAUUUUUAGGACACGAUGACUUGUCCGUGCAGGUUGACGGUCACUAUUAGCAACAAAAGGCAGCAUCCUAUCCUAUACCUCUCUCCAAUGCAUAUUGCUGAGAGAGUGAUCAAGGGUUUCCAGAUAACGGACCCAGAGUUGACCAUGCGACAGAGGGAAAAGAAGUACGAAGAAAACAUGAAAGAGGAGAAGAAGAAAUUGUCAAGGUACAUCUUUGAGGUAAUGAAGAAGCUCAACCCGGAUGGGCCGCAUUGUAUUAUGGCUGCCUACCACUUUGGGUAAGUCGAAAACAUCCAUGUAGAGCAAAAGUGGCUAGGGUCAUGCCUUCUCGUUGACAUAACCUAUACUUGUUUCAAUGGUGUAGAAAUGACCUAGCCGGCGGCCACUGGGUUGCCUUCCUCGUCUAUCCUCAAGAUGGUCGGGCUGUUAUAUUUGACUCGUUAGAGGUACCGAACAAAAAGGGGUACAAGGCCUUCGAAGACUGCUUGAAAAAGUAAGCCACCGAGCUUCUUGAUCCUUUACGGUUAUCGUAUUCAAAUUGACGCUAACACUAAUACACUUCGUACAGCGCUUAUAGUGCAUAUCUCAAGGAUCCGCAAUGCUGGGAUCGGAGAAUGGAGAAAUUCAAAAAGAGGCAUAAGCACCACCUCAAAAUCCAACGCGAUUUCCCCGUAAGUAUAUUUCAAAGGUAGUUCAAUUAUGCUUUUGGUAUAUAUGUGUUCUAAUGCUUUUGUAUCGAUCGUGCAGUGCGCCAAACAACCCUUGGGAUCAAAGGCAUGUGGCUUGUACACCUGCGAGAACCUAAGGGAAAGCAAGGAGUACACCAACAGCUGGAAGAAGCUCAAAGAAGCAGUGAAGAAUCGUGGAGAGACGAUGAAGAAUGAAUGCCAAGCUUUUAAGCAAAUCAAGGCGGACAUCUGUAAGUUCAUCCUAGAGAAAUGCGUGCUCAAGGGCGAACCAUUCUUCGACAAUGAAGGUGAAUUGGCGGUUUGACUAGAGUUCGAGAAGCUUAGGAGAUGGAACACCAUGCUACGGCCAACUGAUUACACCCACGCAGUAGAAUUGUGAUGUGUAGCGGAUUCGUGGGUUUCAUAUGUGUAUAUGUGGAUGAUGAGAACAACUAAGUGGAUUUAUAUAUUAUGUUGUGUCUUAUGUAUUGAACUUCCACGCAUAUGUGUGUGUCUAUAUAUAUAUAUCUUCUGUUUCUAAAAUGAAAUCUAGAUUCUAAAAUUUAUAAAUUGUUUAAAUUCAUAUGCAGCAAUGGUUCUGCAAGUUUUUUUUUAAUUUAAAAAUACUUAACCGUGGCGGACAACAUAAACAAACCGCUACGGUUAAUAGAAAUAUCCGUAGUGGGCAACAUAAAACGCCCGCUACGGUUAAUCUAUUAACCGUAGCGGGCUAUGUAAAGUGCCCGCUGCGGUAAAUGGGCAUUAACCGUAGCGGGCACUUUACGUUGCCCGCUGCGGUUAAUAGAUUAACCGCAGCGGUCACAGGCGCCCGCCACCGAAGUGACCAUGAUUUACCGUGGCCUUGUGGCCGUGGCGGACUUGUUUGCCCGCUACAGAAAAGGGAAAACGCCCGCCACGGUUAUUCUUUCUGCAGUAGUGUAUUAAUCUUACAAUAAUAGAGGUUCGUGUAUUACCUCACCUUGACGCCAGCAGCCCACAAACACAAUCACUGGUUAAGGGGCAUUUCGACCAUAAGAGGUUUGAGCAGAUCUCAAACGUUGAUGUCACAAGGUACUGCCAUGGCAAGCAGCCACACCAGAGCCGCCAUGCCGCCGUCCCGCCGCACGGUCGUGGAAGAACGUGGCCAACACAGCCUAACACCAACAUAACCUAAAUGUAAUAUUUUUAAUAAAUAAUUUGAAGAAAUAACCUUAGCCUAACGUCAACAUAGGAUUGGUAAUUACCUUGUCGUGCUGUCGUGUCGCUGGGUAGAACGUACCCGCCGUGCCGCUUUGUCGCUGGACAGAAUGUCGCCGCGUCAAGGAGCCGACCUGCUGUGCUGCCAAGCAGAACGUGUCCGCGAUGGGAGACUGCCAUGCCGUGACUUCGAGGAUGACGGUGAUGCUUAAAUUUAUUGCUAUGAGUUAUUGGCAAUUUUAUUCAUAUUUACAUUUUGUUAAAUAUGUAAAUUUAUUGACAAAAUAUGAUGAAAUAUUGGUAUUAUGACAGUUGAAAACAUAUAGAUUCACCUUGUGUCAUGGGUUUAAAAAUUACAGCACAAUGCAUCUGGUUCUUUAAACGUAAUACUUACAUACACAUAAAAUACUUUUCUUAUGUCAACUGUUCUGUUGUAUUACUCAUGUUCUCAAAUAGCGAACACAUAUAGAUGUUCUAUUCUUUAACUAUAGUUGUAUGUGAUUUUUUUCAGAAUGAAUUCUUGUACCCUUGCUAAUAUUAAUCUUACAAUAAUACAGGUUCAUGUAUUACCUCACCUUGACGCCAGCAGCCCACAAGUACAAUCACUGGUUAAGGGGCAUUUCGACCACAAGAGGUUGGAGCAGAUCUCAAAUGUUGAUAUAACAAGGUACUGUCGUGGCAAGCAGCUGCACCAGAGCCGUCGUGCCGCCGCACGGUCGUGGAAGAACGUGGCCAACACAGCCUAACACCAACACAGCCUAAAUGUAAUAUUUUUAAUAAAUAAUUUGAAGACAUAACCUUAGCCUAACGUCAACAUAGGAUUGGUAAUUACCUUGCUGUGUUGCCGUGUCGCUGGGUAGAACAUACCCGCCGUGCCGCCGUGUCGCUGGGCAGAACGUCGUCGCGUCAGGGAGCCGACCUGCCGUCCUGCCAAGCAGAAUGUGUCCGCGAUGGGAGACUCCAUGCCAGUGGUGGCGGAGGCCGCGACGAAGGAGGCGGCGGCCUUCCUGGCCUUGCUCUGCCGAGGUGUAAGGUGUGAUGGGGAAGCGCACCUAGAGCAAACACAGGAGCAAACGCAGGGAGAGGCGCGCGAUCUGCGAGGGACACAGGGGAGAUGGUCGUGGUGGAGAUGGGGAGAAGAACGAAGGGGCUGGGAGAGAGAGGGAGUCACACGGCGUGGGAGUCGCCUUGACGGGUAAGGGAGAGGGAGGGAGUUGCAUGGUAUGGAAGGGAUUCCUGGUUUGUUACUAUAUCUGUUGGGUGGUAAAAAAUCGAUAAUCUUUUGUGCGGGUCCAUAAUAAGUGGCGUUUUGAGGGAUACUUAUCCACGACCACCCACCUGGAGUGGAAUUUUUAAGGAUAUCGAUCGGGUGCGCACGAUAGUCACACGAGCGCGGAACGAAACUAUUGUUGCAUGACGGAGAAGUCUUACUUUUAGUCUUUUUAGUUGUAGGAUAUAUAUAUAUAUAUAUAUAUAUAUAUAUAUAUAUAUAUAUAUAUAUAUAUAUAUAUAUAUAUAUAUAUAUAUAUAUGUAUAUAUAUAUAUAUAUAUAUAUAUAUAUAUAUAUAUAUAUAUAGGUAUACUAUUGAGAGCAUAGGGCUUCCAAUAAUUAGUGGAAGCCCCAACCCAAACCUGUGUUUCCUGGUUCCACCAACCCACCAGCCCAUUGGCCCAUCCAUCGGCCCACCUUCCCAAGCCCUAUAUAUAUUCUUCAAAACCCUAAUCCCACUCUUCCCCUCACCUGGCCGCCACCCCCAACAGGCGCCGCCCCACUCCCUGGCCUCGACCCGCGGUGGCGCGACAUCACCACUUCCCCGGCGCGACAUCACCACUUCCGGCUCCUGUGAUGCCUACAUCCUCGAGCGCGCAGAGGCAGAGCCACAACGCGGCGACCUCGGCGAGGAGCGCCUCGCGCUUGGCGCGCCAGCGCGACUCCUUACGGAGCCAUCGCUGCUCCUCGCGGAGCCACCGCACCUCCUCGCGCUCCUCCCAGGACGACGAGGGUCCAGCAGCGGCGCGGGGCGGGAGGACAACCGCGGCGGUGCGUGGAGAGCAGCUGGGCCGGAGCUGCGGGCGGUGGAAGGCGGUGGAGACGAACGGGAAGGCCACCACGCGCGUCGUGCUCAGGUUGGCCCCGCGCUCGUGGAGCUUGGCGAGCCCGAAGUCGCCGAGCCGCGCCGACAUGUCGGCGUUGAGGAGCACGUUGCUGGCCUUAACGUCACGGUGGAGGACGACGCUCUCCCACCCUUCGUGCAAGUACAGCAGUGCCGACGCGACGUCGCGGAGGAUCCAGUGGCGGACAGGCCACGUCAGGCGCGACGCCUUGAGGUGGUCGCCGAAGAGGUGGCGGUCCAGGGUGCCGUUGGGCAUGUAGUCGUAGACGAGGAGGAGGCCGCAGCCAUGGCGCCGGCGUGGGUCAAAGGCCGCGCCUUUGGCUGGUGGCUUGGGCUGCGCUGCAGUUACUGCAGCUGACCAGAGGCGUGAGUGGAGGCAUGGGCGGGGGAGUUCUCUUCAUUGGACUGGAUGCCGUGCCGCAGGCUGAGGGGGGAAGAAAGGAAUAACGGCUUGUUCCUCCUGGUUGGUUUCCUGUUUUGUUUUAAGCCCUUUGUUUUAUAAUUAUAAUUGCAGAGAGACUUGUAGGAAAUGAAAUCUCAUGCUCGCUCACCGUUUGCAGGUUGCGAGGGGAGGGGAUGAUUGUAUCUCAGCGACCUUAUUCUACCUUGCUUGUGUUUCCAUACUUGUUGAACAGAGGGAAAUGAGAUUUAUUUUCUGUGAUUUAUUUUCCACUUCUGUGAUUUAUUUUUCACAUUUUUCUAUGUAUGUUUAUGAUUAUCCUUAGUCUUUCUAUGCUUAUACUCAAAACUUUCUCUGAUUUGUUACUACUAUUUUUAUACAUUGUUUGGAGCAUAUUUUAUACAUUUUGUUGUUGGUUGGGUGCUAAGAAUUUUUUGCAUGUAGAUCCGAAGGAAAGAUAAUAGUUUUUAUAUUUGCAUGUAUAGAUUUAGAUGCAUGGUGAAACUGUGAUUAUGUUUAGUUGGAUUUUGUUUCCACCCUAAUUGAUUUCAAAUUCUAAAUUUUGAAGAAGUCUGUAUACAUUGUGGAGCACUCUUCUAUGCACUGUUAGAACAAUUCAAUAUAUAUUGUUUGAAUAAUUAUCUCUAUGUACCUACGCAGCCUUAGAUUUUUGGUUUAGAUGCACUAUUAGAAUAAUUAUCUGCGCACAAUUCUUCUAUGCUUAGUUGUAUGGGUUUUAUCUGAUUUUUUGUUGCAGCCUUGGAUGAAUAGGUGGUUUGCAUGAAAUGAAAAGCUACAAACGCAAGUAAGCAGGAUUUCUAUUCUUUGAUUUUGAUUUUUAUGCAUUUUCCUUGAUAUUAUGUGCAAUGAAUAUGUUUUUGUGCAAUUGACUUUUGGAUCUUUAUGCUUCGUGGGUUAUACGCUCGAUGUUAAGAUUUUACACAUUCAGAACCAUUCUGGUGGCAAGUCCACUGCAUGAUGUAGUCCACGACCGCGGUGCUAAUAUGGAGCAGCGGUGGCGGUUGGUGGCGUGUAGUUCAUGGCGUCGGCGCUAGUGCGAAUCAGUGGUGGUGGUCGGUUCGAUAGAAGAUAGCAAAGGAGCGGCACGACGCGGCCAAGGAUUUUUGCAUUUUGUUUGUUGAAUUUAGUGUUCUUAUGCUUGUGUGCAUAAGUUUCUAUACACACAAUGGAGCACUUCUAUGCAUUUUUGUAUUCUUAAUGCUUGUGAGCAUAAAUUUCUAUACAUUAUUGGAGCAGGUCUAUGUUGUUUUUAUGUGACAAUAAAUUCACUUUUUAUUCAUCAAAUUACUAAAUUCUAUGUAAUGCCGGUACGAAAAAGAUUUAAGUGUAUCUUGAUCAUUGAAUUUAUGAAUCUGGUCGUCUAUCACGUGUUAUUUUUUCAAAAUUUUAAAUUUUUGAGAAGAAGAGAUCGUCUUUUAUGUUUUACAUGUGCGGUUCUCAUGUUCUAUGUGUUUCUAUACAUCGUUUCCUAUAUUACUUAUGCAUCCUCUCUAGAAUGCAAGGUGUGGUUGGACGCGGUCACGAUUUUUCAAAUUAAUAAUAUGCAGAAGGGAGGGUUUUUACGCGACAAUAAAAUUAUUCUUAUUCACCAAACCACUAAUUUAUAUGCAACGUUAGCGCAAAAAACUUUUCUACGCAUUUUGACUAUUUGAUUCUAUGCAUCUAAUCGUCAUCACGUGCCAUGAUUCAAAUCCCGGUUGUGUCAGAUGAAAUGUCCAUCUCGCGGCUUUAGAUGGUAACAAAAUUAAUUUUUAUUCAUCCAACCACUAACUUCUAUAUAACGUCAGCAUCAAAAACUUUCUGUGCAUCUUGGCUAUUGAUUUUAUGCAUCCAAACGGCCAUCACAUACCAUGAUUCAAAAGUCAAAGUUUAGAGGAAGACGAGAUCAUCUCCAUAUUUUUACACGUCCAGUCUCUAUGUUUUAUGAAUUGUUCCUAUGUUAGUUAUACACCCUAUAGUGAGGAGCAUAAUAUUGUUGGAGGCAAUUACGGUUGUUUCGUGGAAUAUCUAUCUCGCAGAGAAGUUUUUAUGCGAUAACAAAAUUAAUUUUUAUUCACCCAACAACUAAUUUCUAUGCAACAUCGACGUAAAAACGUUUUUACGCAUCUUGAUACUGGUAUAUUGGGAGCCCUGGGCUACAAAUACUUAUUGGAAGCCCCAACCAACACCCCCACCUAGCCCCUGCCUGCGCACAAGUGGGGGACCCCAGACAUUCAACCAAUGCCACUCAGUCCACCAUUCAGGUCAACUGAGCUGACACGCACAGCAGAUGGGGACUGUAGUGGACCCUGUCAAUCGGAUGCAUAAAAAUAUAGGUAAAGCUGCAUAGAAAAGUUUUGGUCGCAAUGUUGCAUAGAAAUUAGUUGAUGGAUGAAUUAAAACUAAUUCGUUAUUGCGUAAAAACCUUUCUGCGAGUUAGACGUUCCACCUGUUCCACCUAACUACACCUGACAGAGGCUGACACGCGCUGACACAUGCUGAUACAUGUAUGCGUCUUCCAUUGUAUUCUCUUCUAUUUUUCCACGAUAAUUCCUCGAUGGAGCUUUCAAUUUUAAAAUGGUUUUGAUCAUUGAACUCCUGACAUUUUUAUGCACGAUUCAAGAUCCACUUUGAAUAUUUUUGAAACAAAAUUAAAAUUUAAAAUUUGAAUCAUGGCACGUGAUAACGAUUAGAUGCAUAGAAUCAAUAGUCAAAAUACGUAAAAAAGUUUUUGGCGCCAUUGUUGCAUAGAAAUUAGUGGUUUGAUGAAUAAGAAUAAUUUCAUUGUCGCGUAAAAACCCUCCCUUCUGCAUAUUAUUGAUUUGAACAAUCGUGACCGCGUCCAACCACAUAUUGCUUUCUAGAGGGGAUGCAUAAGUAAUAUAGGAAACAAUGUAUAGAAACACAUAAAACCCUUCCCACUAUUGAAGAGGAUCGUAACCACAACCAUAGCCGCUCAUACCCACACCAUACUUUCCACCAGGGGAUAUUUAUUUAACAGAGGAACAACGCAUAGAAACCGAGUCAACAACAUAUUAAAAACCAACCGAGGUUACAUAGAAACAAAGUUUUGCUCAUCUCAUCCAAGCAUAUAAAUACAUCAUGGAAAACUAACUUUUUACAUUAACCAAUCAACUAUAUUAAGAUCACACGACGCCACCGCCACGAGUCGUGGACAUCACAAGCCAUGUCAUAUGUCUGAGGCACCAUUGACCUCUCACACCAAAUGGAAAGAAAUCCUUCCAACCAUGCUACAUCACAACAAAGCCACCAUUGACCUCCCACCAAAUAGAGGAAUCUAUUUUAACCAUCCUACAUCACAACAAAGGCAAUAGAAACAUGUUUUAGUAGGAGAAGAAACCUUACAAAAGUAAGGCAUAGAAACAUGUUUCUUACAAUAUGCAUAGAAAAGUUUUGCCGGCAUUGCAUAGAAAUUAGUGGCUCAAUAAAUAAAAGUUAAUUUUGUGAUCGCAUAAAACCUCUCCACAAGAUGGGCAUCCUCCGUAGACAACUGUAAUUACCUCCACUGAUAUCACUAGGGGUGUAUAAUUAACAUGGGAACAAUACAUAGAACAUGGAGAUCACACACGUAAAAGAUGAAUACGGUCUCAUUUUCUCUAAUUUUUUAAAAAUAGCAUGUAAUGGGCGAUCAGAUUCAUAGAAUCAGUAAGCUGCGCAGAAAUAUUUUUGGCACAUGUAUAGAAAUUAGUAGUUAAAUGCAUAAAGAUUAAAUUUGUUACCACAUAAAAACCACAUAGCAACUGCUCCAACAAUGUAUCGAAUUAUGUGUCAAUAAUGUAUAGAAAUAUAUACCGACAGUGUAUACCAAGUAUCAGCUAGAAAUGUAUCCAAAAUUCAAAAGUGCAUGAAAAUGCAUGAAUUGCAUAAAAUCACUGGUUGCCUGCAUAUAGAAAGCACAAUGGACAAAAUCACUGGUUGCAUGAUUCAAAUUUUGGAACAUUGCAUAGAGACUAAAAUCGAAUCAAAACAUAUAAAUCCAUGGCAUAGAAACUAUGGCUCAAGACCUGUGGAAGACAUCCUUGACCGCGUCACGCCAUUGCUGUUGUCCACACCACCAUCCACCACCACCCAUUCGCACCACACUCAUACAUGCAGUUUCACAAAUAACGGGUAAUUCGUUUAGACAGCAAGACAGGCAUAGGAACAUGUUUUAGCAGGAGAAGGCAUAUGAACUUGAGCAAGAUAGACAUAGAAACAUGAUUUAGUAGGCGCAUAAACCUUAUAUCAGCAAAAGAAAGACAUAUAUCAAGGAGAUGCAUAAAAACUCAAAAUCAACCACGUAGAAAUCUUGCUUGCCUACUUUGGUAGCUCUUCAUUUCAUGCAGACCUUUUGUCAUAUAAGCAUGGAUACCACUCUCACAAAUCAUAAAAAUAUGACAUGAAAAUACUAAAAACCAUAUUUCUAGGCAUCUAUCGAACAAUAGGCUAGCAGCAUCUCCAAUUCCGCACUUCAAAGGGAGCUCACGAGCAGGCCUAGCAUGCUCCCCCUAAAUCGCCGAGUGGAUGCAUAGAAACCAUUCUCGUUCAAGCAAAAACCAAAUCCUGCUUGCUUAUACGGUUGACUUUAAGCAUAGAAAUAAAAAUCAAUUGCAAAGUCGAGGAUUCCAAACAUACUAGUGUCACUUCUGGCCGCCGUGCUGGAUGUGUCCUCAUCUAGAAGCUCAUCAACACCAUGGCAGUAGUCCUGUUCUCCAGUAGGCUGGUUGUCUUCCGAUUUGCUGGCAAAAAAACACGCCAAAUCAAAACUAAAAAUUAUGCAUGCAAACAUAGUAACCAAAGGAAAGCAAGAAAAAUAUUUUUUUUGAACAAAACUGGCAUAGAAACAUUUUUUAUACCAUAUAGAAAUAUGUUUUAGCAUGUAUAGAAACCUUACAGUGGCACGAAAGGCGUAUAGAACAGCAUAGAAACUUGUUUUUAGCAAUUUGGAUAUGCUUUACGAUAACCCAACUCACUCCCAUUCAACAUGGGUAGUACUCCAAAUGGGUUGGAAAACAAAUAAAAAGUGCAUGUACAGUGAAACAAUUUGGAUAAAUUGGAGAACUUUCCAACAGCAGUCAUAUUAAUCAAUAAAAAGUAACUAGCAGAAAAGUUAUAGAAAUUUUGUGACUAUAAUUACGAGAAAAAAAAACAACACAAAAAGUAAUGAACUCGAAUCCAUGCUCCAAAUAAUAUAUAAAAUAUGCUCCAACAAUAUAUAUACAAUUCCAAAUGAUUUCUUGAUUAUAUGGUUGGCUCAAGAAGCAUAGAAAUAAAAAAUCAAAGUACAUAAAAACAAUAUACAAAAACCAUUAUUUUAUUUAGUCAUCUCGCCAAUCAAUUGCUAUGCAUAGAAAAUUAUGUAUAGAAUCAUGAACUUUGCAUAAAAAAGUACUCCAACUAUAUAUAUAACCGUAUAGAAGUGCACAAUUAAUUGCUCCAACAGUGUAGAGUAAUUUGUUGUAACAAUAUAUGUAAUACAUAUCAAGCUAUAGUUUAGCCAUGCAUAGAAACUUAUGCACACAUGCAUAAUAACUAAAAAAUCUACAAACAAAACAAUGAAGAUGAAUUAUGCACAAACCACAAACAUGGAUCUUUGUAUCUACUGCUAGGAUUAAAAUACAGGAGGAUCAUAUUGGACAUCUGAGCAAUGCAUCUAUGCAUACAAAUCACCCAGCAACUUUGAAAACCACAGUUCCACCAUGCAUAGAAACUAGUAUGUUAGUAUACAAUUCACCCAACUGUU